UGAGUGAUUCCAUCAUUUUCCUCUACUUGAUCCGGAAACAAAAUAUUUCAUUGAACUAGUCUGAGGUAUGUUUCACGAGGCCAGAAUGUUUUAUGUCAUAUCUGUGAUUUGUUUAAUUGCUACGAAGUAAAAAAGCUGUGCAGAAGUAUUUUUCUGUUUCUGGUUUCUUCCGUUUGUGUAUAUCUCAUACUAAAUAGUUUUAGAUCUUCAAGUGAAAUACAACAUAAAACCAAGGCAACCUGAAUAAACACACAAUACAGUUAUUUAUUAUUAUUUUGUACGCAAAAAAGGUUUUCCAACUCUUAUCACCCAUGUGGAAAACUAACUGCUUCCUUAAACAUAAAAUCUGGUUGUGCCACCUUUUAGCAGCAAUAACUGCAACCGAACGCUUCCGAUAACUGAGAUCAGUCUUUCACUUACUUCUAGGAUUAGGACUUACUCCUGUGCUUUGAUCAUUGUCUUGCUGUACAAUCCAGUUGCACUUGAGUUUCAACUCUAGACGGGACAUUCUGCCUUUAGGAUUUUCUGGUAGAGAGUGGAAUUCGUUUCCCUCAAUUACUGCAAGUUGCCCAGACCCUGAAGCAGCAAAGCAUCCCCACACCAUCACACUACCACACUUGAAAUAGCUAGGUAACCCUUCCCAGACUGAUGUACUUCAAUCACCUUCUUCCUCAUCAUUUCUGGAAUUUCUUUCGAUUUUGCCAUAGUGUGUUACUGGGUAAGACCUUUUACCCAAAUUCACGCUGUAGAAAAAGUUCUAUUUAAGUGUUGAUGUGAUUGAACAGGGUUUGCAGUAAUCAGGCCUGGUUGUGUCAAGUCCAGCUGAACCUCAUUAUCAAUGCAGUUUCAUAGAUUUGGGGAAUUAGUAACAACGGGGGAAAAUACAUUUUCACACAGGCCCAGUUGGUAUUGGAUAACUCAUUUUGCUUCAAUAAAUAACAUUAUCAUUUAAAAACAUUAUCACGGUUUUAUCUUAGACUUAGAAAAAAUGAGUAUGAGAUUUACACAAAAACACAAGAGAUCAGGAUGGGGCCAAUACUUUUUUAUUCAUGUUAUUUAUUUUACAGCUCUGUAAAUGUACGUACUUGAAUAAGUUCUACCCACAGAUCAGAGGGACUGUGAGGGCUGGUCUAAAAGCUUCAGCUUGCAUUUCUUGUAGUAGUUUAUGGUGGAUUUUAAGGUACGUUUUGGAUCGUUGUUCUGUUUGCUACCAGAUUUUGCUGAUAUUGACUGGAAUCCAUUCUUCCAGCUACCUGUGCAGUGCAUAAUAGCAUAAAUAGAUCAAGCCAGAGCCACAAUCGAUCCACCCCAGUGCUUAACAGUUGGCAAGCUGUUCUUUUCAUUUUUCAUCAGAUGCAAUUCUUUGUAUUGUGAUUGUGGCCAAAGAGUUCAGUUUCUACUUCAUCAGUCUGCAGCAUGUCUCCACAAUGCCUCUGACUUAUCUAGACGUUGUUUUGCGUACGUCGGGCUUUCACUUUUGUGAUGAGGCCACAAGGAAGAUUUCUUCUGAUGACUCUUCCAUGCAGAUCAUGUUUGUGAAAGCAACGCUGCAGAGAAGAACAGUGCACCACCGCUCCUGAGUCAGCUUUCUGCAGGUCCUUGGUGUUAUUUAGUGCCUUUCUUCCCAACAUAAGGGCGGUCCUAUCUAAACGCUCUCUUGUUUUUAAAGAUCUUGCCUUGACUUCCCCUUAACUGCCAUUUUUGAUACCAUGACUGUACACGCUUAUGUAAAGCACCUUGAGAGGCCUUUUUAAAGGCACUAUAUAAAAUAAAGUUUUAUUAUUAUUUUUAUUGCUUUUGGACAUUUCAGUGGAAAUUUGAGCUGAAAAUGCUUUGGUAUCUUUUUAUGUAUGCAUCAAUUAGGUUCAUUUUCAGAUUUCUCAGUCAGCUGAUUAGAGCAUCCUCAUGGUUGUUGAGUGUUAGCACAAGAGUCAGAGAAUUCAUUACACACUGGAUCUGUAUUCUUAACCACGAUUCAUGAGAUCAUGAGAAGUUCUGAGAUUUUUACAGCUAGCUUGUGCAGGAGUCGCGUUUCAUUCUUUCACGUUCACAAGUUCAACAAAAUAUGUGACUUGGCCAGGGAUGUCCAAACCUUUUCAUACAGCUGUAUUCCUACAGUAUGUUGUCUCGUCGUCGUGUAUUAUAUUAUAGGAGAAGGACUAGAAACUACAUUUCCCAUCAGCCACUGCACCGUGUCACAUUCUGCACGAGUUGUCUUGCGUUGCUUGUUCUGUCUCCACGUAUGACGUUAUGCCCGUCUUUGUCCCAUGUAAGUCUUGUGUUGUGUUUUGCUGGAUACUUUAUUAAACAUUUCACUUACAGUCUGCAUUUGCAUCCGCCUCGAAUCCCUGACACUCAUGAACAUUACAGGAGGAAUAAAGUUUUAAAUGCAAAAUUCAGUAUUGUGUUAUUCGGUAUUGUAGUACCAUCAAAAAAUAAAUAAAUAAAAAUAACAACCCAUAAACAGCCAUAAUUAAAGUGCACAGUGAUCGCUGUGGCGUAUUUUUUUUGUCUUGAAAGCACUUUACGUCUUUGAUCCACUCGUCCAGACUAGUCCUUGCCUAUGAAAAUGUGUAGUGUGUGUGUUGUCACUGUACAUAGUGCUGUAAAUGUAGGAAAAAUCAGCCAUUUUACUAAGGAGCCUUAACACAGGCCGAGCUCACAUUUGAGCAGAUGACUAAAACACACAGCCUCCACACGGGCCGUGACCCAGGCUAAAGGCAAUAAGUAUAAGAUCUUUCUGUAGAGGUGGUGUGUGUGUGUGUGUGUGUGUGUGUGUGUGUGUGUGUGUGUGUGUGUGUGUGUACGUACACUCUGCUCUCUGCAGGCUUCAGUUCCAGGGUGGACUUUUUUUUUUUCUUCCCACUGAGAUGGAAAUCUUUACCUGCCAUUCAUUUACACAGCAAUAGUAUUAUUGCUUAUAGUACCAAUUGUAAUAAUGAUGCGAUGCUGCUGGGUGUGUGUGUGUGUGUGUGUGUGUGUGUGUGUGUAUAAAAAAUGGGUAUUAAUUAGCUUUGAUAUCGUGUACUUGCUCUUGCGCUGACACCUUAAUGCUGUGUAGAAAGCAUCACGUGUGUGUGUGUGUGUGUGUGUGUGUGUGUGUGUGUGUGUGUGUGUGUGUGUGAGAGAGAUAUUACUGUAUCAUAUGAGUGUAACAAUAACACUGAUUGAGGAUAAGUGCUUCUCUUUAUGGCUCCUUCAUUGGGAGAAUUGUUUUUGUAAAUGAUAUUUAACCACAUUCGAAUGGUUCAAAGCCAUAGAGCUUGUGUGUGUGUGUGUGUGUGUGUGUGUGUGUGUGUGUGUGUGUGUGUGUGUUGUCUGCUAAAGGCAGUGCUCAGAGAUGGUUCAUCUUUGUUGUUGUAUAGCAGUGAGUGUACAGGCUUUUCCUGCUUUACACAGCCGUUUCUAAUAAAGGCUGCGCGUGUUUUAUUUUUACUCAGUGAUUGUAUUGACUAGUCCGAUGUCCUCGCCCACACUCCGGAAGCCAUUCUCUUUGUGUGUGUGUGUGUGUGUGUGUGUGUGUGUGUGUGUAUUGAGUACUGCUAAAAUGUGCUGAAGAUGAUUACACCUGAGGAAGAUUGGACAUGAGGAUGAUUGGAUAUGAGAAUGACUGGACAUGAGAAUGACGACAUGAGGAUGAUUGGACAUGAGGAUGACAGGACAUGAGGAUAAUUACAUCUGAGGAUGAUUGGACAUGAGAAUGACUGGAUAUGAGGAUGACAGGACAUGAGGACGAUUGGACAUGAAGAUGAUUACACCUGAGGAUGAUUGGACAUGAAGAUGACUGGACAUGAAGAUAAUUACAUCUGAGGAUGACUGGACAUGAGGAUGAUUGGACAUGGAGAUAAUUACAUCUGAGGAUGAUUGGACAUGAGGAUGAUUACACCUGAGGAUGACUGCACAUGCAGAUGAUUGGACAUGAGGAUGACUGGACAGCGCAGAAGAGAGGAUUGUGGAUCAGUUGUUAAGAAGAUUGUCUUAAGAUCAUUUUUUCUUGUCUCCAUGUACAGUACCGGUAGCAUACAGAAUAACAUCACAUUUACACUCGAUUAUUAACGUGAAGGUUCCCGUAACUAACAGCGUUAAUUAACAAUAACGCACCCUAAACAUCACUAUUAAACCGCUUCAUUUAACAAGGUGUUAAUUGAUGCUUGUUUAAACGUCAGUGAAAUCCACAUACAUUAGCCAAUGUUUAUUCCGUCAAUGCCUAAUACAUCCGUGUACGUUAGAGAUCAAAAGCUUCAUUACUGUUGCUAAGGUGCUGGACUCUGGUCUCCAGGUGUUCACACUGAUCAUUAUGGGCUGCAUUUCACUUACCUAACUAAUAUCUAAAUGUGACUCAUACAAACGUUAAUGACCGAUAGUCAGAAGUUCAUGGUUUGUUCAUGUUAGUUAAAGUGUUAAGUAGGGAUGGGUGAUAUAGAUUGAAAACUCUAUCACGAUAUCUCAUGGUCAUGUUUUGUGGUAAUGUAUAAAUAUAAAUGACGAUGUGAAAAUAGUUACUAUCUUUUUGACGUUACUUGUUGACGCUUUCUCCUGAGCUUCUGGCCUUCCGUGUAUUUGUUUUUGCUCGAGGUGGUGGAACAUUUGAUGUGUUUCCACUCUUUGCUUUGUGGGUUUUUGAGCAAUCACAGGUGUUUGAUUCACAUCUGUUUUGAUGUAUCCGAACCCCUUCGAUAUUCCAACCGAAGCGCCUUUUCUGGGGAUUAAUUCUCCUUCCUUGUCUAGGGUCGCAACGCCGAACUUCCACCGCAAUUGUACUGGUAUAUCAUGGACCAUACGGUCAUGCACAGCCCUAGUGUUUUAAUAAGUAAUGUCAGUUAAGGGAACCUUCAUGUAAAAUGUAAUCAUCAGACUGCUAUGAAAGUUUCUCAACUUUACCCAGCUCUACUCGAUACCGAGAGAAGUACUGAAACGUUCGGAAGGGAAAUUUAUUUCGGCGGUGCUGUUGAAUUCUCAAAUCUGAUUGGUCUGGAGGUGUCGAUUGGCUGUAAUUCAAAUCACAGGUUUAUAUUCAUGUGCUCGGUCCGACACCUGCUCAUUUCUACGUAGAGUUCUAAGAUACUCCGCAAUCUAGUGAUUUAGAUGGAUUAGAAAAAUAUAUCAUCGUCGAUAUGGUGAAACUUUCCAUGAGAAAAUAUUUAUUUCACAUGUACGGAGUGAAUGCCAGUGCGCUUGUAAUAUUCAGUAAGCUUCAUGAGAAAAUGUUAACGACGGAGGUUUUGUUCAUUCCGGUUUCUUCUUAACAUGAUUAGCUGUGGGGUUUUUCGUCUUCUCUCUUAGAGAGAGAGAGAAAUGAGGGAGAGCGAGAAGGAGGGAGAGGGAGAGGGAGGGAGAGAGAAAUGAGGGAGAGCGAGAAGGAGGGAGACGGAGAGAGAGAGAAUGAGGGAGAGCGAGAAGGAGGGCGAGAGAGAGCAAGAAGUAGGAAGAGAGAGAAAUGAGGGAGAGGGAGGGCGAGAGAAAUGAGAGAGAGCGAGAAGGAGGGCGAGAGAAAUGAGAGAGCGCGAGAGGGAGAGGGGAGGGAGAGAGAAAUGAGAGAGCGCGAAGGAGGGCGAGAGAAAUGAGAGAGCGAGAAGGAGGGCGGGAGGGAGAGAGAAAUGAGAGAGAG
ensembl:lncRNA